CCCAUUUGACAGGUCGGAAAAAUUGAUUCAUUUUUCGUGACACGCGCGAAGGAUGCAUUCUGGCUGUUGCUUAUUGUUUUCCAACCCCUGGAGAUUGGAAAUCGAUGGGUUGUAUUCGGAAAUAAGUAACGGGAUUCUUUUUUGGACCGUCUAAAAAUAACGGAUGCUUAUUUAUUGUUUUAACUACGGUGACAACAACAACUCCCGAAAGUUUCACCCUCCGAAACUAUUCCAUGUAAUGAUUCUACGAAGAACAACAUGGAAUAAUAGUGUUCAUCAAGUCCCCGAGGGAAAUCGAUAUUGCACGUCUGUGUUCCGUUCUGCAGGACGUGUUACCCUUUCAAGGAAACUCGCUGCUUGAAGGGGCACGGUUGCAAUUUCUGUCGCAACGUUUCCAUUCAGGGGCUUUAAAAAAUAGAAACCUCUCGGUCCCUCGGUAUUCAUGGGAAGUUAUGGUAAAUGGUCCGUCGUAGGUACGCUUUACUUGCCUCGUUUAAUGCAUCUCGGAAAGCAUAAUAGAAUGGGCCUUGCAAAAAUACAUGCUGCUACUAAAAAAAUCGUGAAUUUUCUUUGCUUGGAAUAAUCUCACAAAAAAUAGUAAUCUGAGGCUCCUUUAUGAGAUCCAAUAUUGUAGUAUACUAGAAUAAUCACAGAAAAUAUUCCAAUCUAAAAUCGCAUUCUUCUCCGUAGGAAUUUUUCUGUUUUCUACAGGCGUACAAUCUCGUCAUUGCUUCACAGGUGUCGGGAGGUUACGGGUCCCCUUAAUAGCGCAACAAAGCAAAGUUUAAAAAGGUAGAUCGCGCCCCGGGAGGAACAUUAGACUUAAUCGCAGUUCGCCGACGAAACGAGCGUUUCUGAACAGUCAGCAAAUGAACGAA